rnacentral:lncRNA from 1 species
UCAUUGCUGGCAUGUGGUCUUUCACAAUAAAAUUUUCCCCUUCCUUUUGAUUCCUCUAGGCAACAGCACAAAGUUAAACCAGGAAGUCCCUCUGCCUUGCUAGGGAUCCAGGCUUGCCUUCCUGUCGAGGUAUCCCAUUUGAUCAGUUGACCUAAGUUUGAACAAACACUGCCACCUGAUGCAUGAAAACUCUACUGUGACUUACGUUAAAAGGCAACAGCACAGAGUUAAACCAGGAAGUCCCUCUGCCUUGCUAGGGAUCCAGGCUUGCCUUCCUGUCGAGGUAUCCCAUUUGAUCAGUUGACCUAAGUUUGAACAAACACUGCCACCUGAUGCAUGAAAACUCUACUGUGACCUACGUUAAAAGGAACUGACACUCCUUCAGGCUACCUUAGUCACUGGGGGCUUGUUGCAGCAUACCUGUGGCAAUGAGAGAGAGGUACAUCACAGGAGCAGCUGGCAGCAGUGGCCUCCCGCCUAUGGUGAUGAUAAAAAAGAUGACCUUGUUGUUCUCACCUAUUCAGCACUGGACACCUUCCUGGAAAAUGUAUGAUUAGCCAGUCAAGGCCACCUCAAAAAUUUAAGAUGAAACAAUAGAGAUGAACCAAGAAGUUACAUACAUUCAUCAGGAUUGCUGGACAGUCCUGACCUCUACCCAUCAAUCAAAGGGAAGCAUUCACGACUGAAAGUUUGUCUUCACUGUGCUGGGAUCUGAAAUUAAAAGGAAGAAGGAUAAAAAGUGGUG